GUAAGGAAUAUUGGUCAAUGGGGGCAACCCUGAACCAGCCAUGCCGCGUGAAGGAUGAAGGCGUUAUGCGUUGUAACUUCUUUUGUAUGGGAAGAAUGACAGGGAUUUAUCCUUGGAGAGACGGUACCAUACGAAUAAGCACCGGCUAACUCCGUGCCAGCAGCCGCGGUAAUACGGAGGGUGCAAGCGUUAGCCGGAAUCACUGGGUUUAAAGGGUACGUAGGCGGUUAAUUAAGUCAGUAGUGAAAGACUGUCGCUCAACGACGGAUGUGCUAUUGAUACUGGUUAACUUGAAUCAGGUUAGAGUUGGCGGAAUGGGUCAUGUAGCGGUGAAAUGCUUAGAUAUGUCACAGAACACCGAUAGCGAAGGCAGCUCACUAGGUCUGGAUUGACGCUCAGGGACGAAAGCGUGGGGAGCAAACAGGAUUAGAUACCCGAGUAGUCC
rnacentral:rRNA from 1 species